AUAAAUAAAUUAUUAAGAGCACUUGAUGGAUGCCUUGGCGUUAAGAGGCGAUGAAGGACGUGGCAGGCUGCGAUAAGCUGUGGGGAAUUGUCAACAAAUUUUGAUCCGCAGAUUUCCGAAUGGGGAAACCCAACUAGUUUAGCUAGUUAUUACGUACUAAGUAUGUAAAGCAAACUUGGUGAACUGAAAUAUCUAAGUAGCCAAAGGAAAAGAAAUCAACCGAGAUUCUGUUAGUAGUGACGAGCGAAAGCGGAAAAGGCUAGUGAUUUAAGAAUAAGAAUUAGAAUACUCUGGAAAUAGUAACCAUAGAAGGUGAUAGUCCUGUAUAAGUAGAAAGUUUUUAAAUCCUUGAGUAGAGCGGGGCACGUGAAAUCCUGUUUGAAUAUGGGGGGACCAUCCUCCAAGCCUAAAUACUCCUUAACGACCGAUAGUGAACAAGUACCGUGAGGGAAAGGUGAAAAGAACCCCGGGAGGGGAGUGAAAUAGAAUCUGAAAUCAAGUGCUUACAAACAGUUGGAGCUCUAUAUCAAUUUAUUGAUAUUUAGAGUGACAGCGUACCUUUUGCAUAAUGGGUCAGCGAGUUAAUCUGUGAAGCAAGCUUAAGCCGUUAGGUGUAGGCGUAGCGAAAGCAAGUCUGAAUAGGGCGUUUUAGUUUUAUGGAUUAGACCCGAAACCAAGUGAUCUAGUCAUGACCAGAUUGAAGGUGUGGUAAAACACACUGGAGGAUCGAACCAGUUAAUGUUGCAACAUUAUUGGAUGAGUUGUGAUUAGGGGUGAAAGGCCAAUCAAACUUGGAAAUAGCUGGUUCUCCGCGAAAUCUAUUUAGGUAGAGCGUUGUAUGUAUGUUGUUGGGGGUAGAGCACUGGAUAGACUAGGGGGAUUCACCGUCUUACCAAAUCUAACUAAACUCCGAAUACCAACAAUUAAUUAUACAGCAGGCACACUACGGGUGCUAAGUCCGUGGUGAAGAGGGAAACAACCCAGAUCACUAUCUAAGGUCCCAAAAUUACAGCUAAGUGGGGAAGGAAGUAGGAAAACCAUUACAGCUAGGAGGUUGGCUUGGAAGCAGCCAUCCUUUAAAGAAAGCGUAACAGCUCACUUGUCUAAAUAAGUUUUUCUGCGCCGAAAAUGUAUCGGGGCUAAAGCUGUAUACCGAAGAUGUGAGUGCUUAUUGAUUUCGAUCAAUAGGCGCGGUAGCGGAGCGUUCCGUAAGUCUGUGAAGGUGGUUUGUGAAAACUGCUGGAGAUAUCGGAAGUGAGAAUGCUGACAUAAGUAGCGUAAAAGAGUGUGAAAAACACUCUCACCAAAAAUCUAAGGGUUCCUACGUUAAGUUAAUCUGCGUAGGGUUAGUCGGUUCCUAAGGCGAGUCCGUAAAGGAGUAGUCGAUGGCAAUUAGGUUAAUAUUCCUAAACCUCUUAAGUGUGACGGGUUUCGUAUUUGUAUAGAUCUUAUUGGAUUGAUCUAUGCUUAAAAGAAGCUCCAGGAAAUAGCACUUAUAUUUAUGAGGCCGUACCGCAAACCGACACUGGUGGAUGAGUAGAGUAUACUAAGGUGUUGAAAGAAUGAUGUUGAAGGAACUCGGCAAAUUAUACCUGUAACUUCGGAAGAAGGGUAACCUGCUUUUAGGCAACUAUGAGUAGGUGGCACAAAAUAGGGAGUAGCGACUGUUUACUAAAAACACAGGACUCUGCAAACACGUAAGUGGAAGUAUAGGGUCUGACGCCUGCCCGGUGCUGGAAGGUUAAUAGGAAGGGUGCAAGCUCCGAAUUGAAGCCCCAGUAAACGGCGGCCGUAACACUGACGGUCCUAAGGUAGCGAAAUUCCUUGUCGGGUAAGUUCCGACCCGCACG
rnacentral:rRNA from 2 species